rnacentral:rRNA from 1 species
GCUCAGGAUGAACGCUGGCGGCGUGCUUAACACAUGCAAGUCGAACGGGAUCCAGGAAGUGCUUGCACUUUUUGGUGAGAGUGGCGAACGGGUGAGUAACACGUGAGUAACCUGUCCUUUUCUUUGGGAUAAGCUCCUGAAAGGGUGUUUAAUACCUUAUGUUCUGUCUGCCUCGCAUGGGGUGGGUGGGAAAGAUUUUUUCGGUGAAGGGUGGGCUCGCGGUCUAUCAGCUUGUUGGUGGGGUGAUGGCUUACCAAGGCUUUGACGGGUAGCCGGCCUGAGAGGGUGGUCGGUCACAUUGGGACUGAGAUACGGCCCAGACUCCUACGGGAGGCAGCAGUGGGGGAUAUUGCACAAUGGGCGCAAGCCUGAUGCAGCGACGCCGCGUGGGGGAUGAAGGCCUUCGGGUUGUAAACUUCUUUUGCUCUGAACAAGGCGCACCAUGGGGUGUGUUGAGUGUAGGGGUUGAUUAGCGCCGGCUAACUACGUGCCAGCAGCCGCGGUAAUACGUAGGGCGCGAGCGUUGUCCGGAAUUAUUGGGCGUAAAGGGCUUGUAGGUGGCUGGUUGCGUCUGUCGUGAAAGCUCAUGGCUUAACUGUGGGUUUGCGGUGGGUACGGGCUGGCUUGAGUGCAGUAGGGGAGGCUGGAAUUCCUGGUGUAGCGGUGGAAUGCGCAGAUAUCAGGAGGAAUACCGGUGGCGAAGGCGGGUCUCUGGGCUGUUACUGACACUGAGGAGCGAAAGCAUGGGGAGCGAACAGGAUUAGAUACCCUGGUAGUCCAUGCUGUAAACGGUGGGAACUGGGUGUGGGGGGCUUUUUUGUCUUCUGCGUCGUAGCUAACGCGUUAAGUUCCCCGCCUGGGGAGUACGGUCGCAAGGCUAAAACUCAAAGGAAUUGACGGGGGCCCGCACAAGCGGCGGAGCAUGCGGAUUAAUUCGAU